ACGACGCUGGCGGCGUGCCUAACACAUGCAAGUCGAGCGGAGAAACAAAAGAGCAGCUUGCUGCGAUUUGUUCUUAGCGGCGGACGGGUGAGUAACGCGUGGGUAAUCUGCCUCAAACAGGGGGAUAACACAGGGAAACUUGUGCUAAUACCGCAUAAGACCCCACCAUGGCAUCAUGGAGAGGUCAAAGGAAGAAAUUCCGGUUUGAGAUGACGCCCGCGUCUGAUUAGCUAGUUGGUGAGGUAACGGCUCACCAAGGCGACGAUCAGUAGCCGAACUGAGAGGUUGAUCGGCCACAUUGGGACUGAGACACGGCCCAGACUCCGUACGGGAGGCAGCAGUAGGGAAUCUUCCGCAAUGGACGAAAGUCUGACGGAGCAACGCCGCGUGAACGAUGAAGGCCUUCGGGUCGUAAAGUUCUGUUGUUAGGGAAGAACAAGUGCUAGUUAAAUAAGCUGGCACCUUGACGGUACCUAACCAGAAAGCCACGGCUAACUACGUG
rnacentral:rRNA from 1 species